rnacentral:rRNA from 1 species
UAUAGUUAGCGGCGAACGGGUGAGUAAUGCCUAGGAAUCUGCCCAUUAGCGGGGGAUAACGUUCCGAAAGGAACGCUAAUACCGCAUACGCCCUACGGGGGAAAGCAGGGGAUCUUCGGACCUUGCACUAAUGGAUGAGCCUAGGUCAGAUUAGCUAGUUGGUGAGGUAAUGGCUCACCAAGGCGACGAUCUGUAGCGGGUCUGAGAGGAUGAUCCGCCACACUGGAACUGAGACACGGUCCAGACUCCUACGGGAGGCAGCAGUGGGGAAUAUUGGACAAUGGGCGCAAGCCUGAUCCAGCCAUACCGCGUGUGUGAAGAAGGCCUUUUGGUUGUAAAGCACUUUAAGUGAGGAGGAGGGCACUUUGGCUAAUACCCGAAUGUGUCGGACGUUACUCGCAGAAUAAGCACCGGCUAACUCUGUGCCAGCAGCCGCGGUAAUACAGAGGGUGCGAGCGUUAAUCGGAAUUACUGGGCGUAAAGCGCGCGUAGGCGGCUUGUUAAGUCGGAUGUGAAAUCCCCGGGCUCAACCUGGGC